GGGAGUUGGGGGUUGGGUUUCUGUGUGUUUUCAGAGAAACAACCUCAGCUUCCAGGUUUCUAGAGGGGUUCCCCAUCCUCUGCUCAGUUCAGCCCCAGGCAGGCAGAACCGUGCCCAAGCCUCCCUCCUGAGCUCCCGCAUAUGCUUUCUUGCUAAAUGACUCUUGCUCCAUCGUCUCCUCACAGGGUACAUCUGCUGGGUGCCUCUCGUCCUCAACUCGGCUUUCAUCUUUUCGGAUCUCAACACAUUGUUUCCUCCAGUCCUGGUGCCAGGGUGGAAGGGAGCCAUCAAGCCCGGCCGCGCUCUGGGACUGGCAGCGAACGAAUGACUGGCAGCGGGCAUCUCUGUCAGCGCUUUGGCAUGCCGCAGAGUAGAAGCCCCACGCUAAUGAAUGCCAUCUACACCUACCAGAUGUGCCACUGGGUGACAUGCCAGAUCUUUUACAUAAUGCCAUUCUGCCGGACCCGAGACAGCUGGGGAUUCCAAAAAGGAAAACUGUUUAGAAGGUUAAAGGAAAAAUCCCACUGAGAACAGCUGAAAUGAAAAGGGGUUCCACAGCCCCAGCUCGUCCCGCUCUUCUCUACUCUCCAAGUGCAAGGGUGAGCUACCCACGCCCUAUCCCUUCCUCAGCCUCUCUGGUUCCGACCUCCUCCACUGCCCACCGGAGCCUGGGGAACGUUUAUCCUCAAGGGUGCGAGAGAGCCUGUCACUUUCCGUUCCACGUUCUGGCUGAAGUAGUUGUCUUGGGGUGGAGGUGUCCAAACCCUCCUGCCAUUUGGAACGGAGUGUUUCCUGGAGAGGGAUGGAUGAGGUGGGAGGAAGGGGAAAUAAGAAAACUGCUUCUGGCCAACAAGGGUGUGCGCGCCUGUAAGACAGUUUCCAAGCUCGGGUCCCAGCCCUCCACUCCCAGGGGGACAGGAGCUGGGGACCGGGGGAGGCGGCCUAACACGUCCCCAGCAUCCUCUCCACACCUGGCAACCGGGCCUGCCCGGGAUCCGGAGGACUCAUGGGGACCACCUCUGCGCCUCCUCCCAAGGGCCGCACCCCUCCCACGCCCCCUGCGGGGCCCUAGGGCCUCCCCUCCCCUCCCGCGUAGAGUCUCCGGCCAGCCAAGGGGCCCCGCGCCUGCCCGGUCCUCACAGCCCACCCCGCCCCGCCGCCUGGGCUCCAGAUGGCGGCGCAGCGAGAGCGGCACGCAGGGUCCCCUCCUCCCGCCCAGCUGCCUCUGCGUUGACCUGGCUGCUCAGCACUGCAGGCCGGCGCCUGUCUGACCGGGAGGGGGCGGUGUGCCCCGGGGGACGCAGGUUUCCUGCCUUCCCUCUCUCUUGCACCCUCAUAUUCUUGAGGGUUCUACGGGCCGGAGACGAUGUGAAUGUGGCCCCUCUGCGAAGGUGACUAGUUUUUGUUCGGGGUCGGAGAUGGCAGCUGAGGGUCCGGGGUGCGGUGCUUCCCGGGUCGAGUCGUAGAGCUCCGGGACGCGCAAAGUUCGGCGGCGUUGGCACGGCGGUGAGCCCUCUGCUCCCUCCGCAAAGACAACAGGCCGGACAGUGGCUCCCCGCACAGCCCUCCCGGACAGUCCUCGCUGCUUCCCUCCCCAGAGUCCGCGCCGUGGUGGGGAGUGACCCGAGAGGCCGCGCUCGGCGUCCCGCGCAGCUCACCCUCCCUUCCUGUCCCGUGGGGUGCGGUGUGCGCCCACCGUGCCCUCAGGUCCCUGAGCAAGGCGGUCACCAUCGGGCUUUAGACCCCAGAACGAGUUCCAUAAGCUCCCAGGAUAAAUCCCCUCGGAAACAUUAAUCACAACGAGCAGCCAAGGCAAAAUGUGUGCCAGUGCGGUGUCAGCCUUUUAAUUCCUGACGUAAUUCCGGAGAACAGCAUCAGACAAGGGCUCUAUUAAUCCCUGACAUGAGUCCAGGCGAUCUAUGACCUACUAGACUUGUUUCCCUGCAACUGCAAAAAGUGUUAGCCUCGCUUAGAGGGACGGCGAGGACAGAAAAGAAAGAGAGAAGACCCUCUGCGCUUUCCCACCGCAAUGGGGCACUUCAAUCAGAAGGCGCUUGUAGGCUGAGGCAGGAGGAUCCCAAGUUUGAGCCCACCCUGGCCAAUUUAAGGACUUAGUAGACCCUGUCUCAAAAUUUUAAAAGGUAGCUCAGUGCCCAGUAGCCUUCCCACCCCCCCCCCCCCAAGCACACCUGACUGAUGUGGAUGGACUCACUGGCCAGGGGUCCAGAAAUUCGACCCCUGCGGUGGUGGUUUGGAGGGCAUGGCCAAGGGGACAGGGUAGGCUGGUGAGCACAGGGGCUGGAGACCCAAGUGACCCAGGGUGGAGACGGCCUCCUGGCAGCCGCUAGGGCAGGAGGAGAGGUUAUCCAGUCAGGCGGACCAGCCAGAACUGGACCCCUGGGGCCUGUUCCUCGAGCUUCAGAUUUCACUAUCAUGUCGUUCAAUUAAUCAUAUUUCGCUUCUCUCAUUUUAUUCAAAACCGUCUUCCACUUCCCUCAUAAUCGUAAUUUGCGCCAUUGCCUUUUAUCCUUGAUUAAUUAGGAAGCUGAAAUGAUAAUGGAGGGCCGGACCAAUAAAUUAGCUUUGGGAACAGACGGACCUACGUCUGGGGCUGCAGCGUGGGUGGGCAGUGCCCCCGAGGCACGGGGAGGGGUGAAGUGCACCCUAACCCUAGCCCUAACCCCAACCCCAACCCCAGCGCCAACCUAACCCAAGACCUCUCCCUGGGGUGUUACGUUCUUCUGUUCGGAUCUAGAGUUGGCGAGGGGGCUGGCGUAGGGGGAGGGAGGGGCCCCGUUUUCCUUCCCAGAGGCCUCACCGCCCCUAGCCGGUGGUUAGGUUGAAAGUCUGGGCCUGCGGAGGGUUUGGGUCUGUUUCUUCCCGAGCUAGGCGCUAGAUUUACUGCCUUUCCUUCCUCCACUCUCCGCUUGCCUGCUGGCCUGAAGGAGGGAGGAAGGGAGGGAAAGUGAGCGAGAGGGAGAGGGGGAUGCAGAUUCUAAGAUCAGGUCAGAAACUCCUGGCCCAAGGGGGAGCUCCCCGCGCCCAGUCGCUCCCUGGCCUCGCUGAGCGGCGCCGGGCGGUUGGGGCGCCUCUCUUCUCCCUCCCUCCGUGAAAUCGAUCACGCCUCCAGACGGCUGAGGGAGAGCACUUUGCCACUCUUCACAGCUUCGCCCCAGCCUCUUUAGCUUUCAAUUGAAAAGCAAUUAAAGGUUUCUAUAAAUCUGUUAGCGCCCCUUUUAUCUGGGGACCCCUGAUGCAUGCGAUAUUGCCCUUUAGAUGCCUCUUCCGUGUUUUGUUUUACAAUUGUUGUAUCAAUAUAAUGCGGCCUUUCUUCUCCUGUCUCUAUAGAUACAGAUACACAAGGAAAACCAAAGCUAUUCAGGCUCCUCAUUUGUCCGGCAGCUAACAGUGGGGCCCUUUCUCUGCGGCUGCUUCCCUGCCUAGGCAGCAGCAGUUAUGGUAGAAGCAGAUGGCUACUGAUUGGGGGAGCUUUGUGGCUCUAAUACUGAAUACUUUAUGGAAAAGGACUUUAUCAUGCUUCGUUGGGCAGGGGAACAACGGGAUGAGAUUUACAGCCAGAAAAAAAUAAAUCUUUUUCCAAGUUGUGGC
ensembl:lncRNA